ACCAAAUCUUCAUCCUCUAUAAUAUUUGCUGCACCAUUCGUUUCUCCUGUCUCUGCAGCAAAACAAUUAUUCUUUAAUUUCCUACUCAAGAAAUUGAGAACCAAAUUCGAGAGAGGGAGCUCUCGAUAAUUCUCUCAAAAUCCGUUGAAGGUUAUCUUUGCAUGUUAAAGUUGGAGAGAGAAUUUCAAGUUAAGGAAAUUAGACGAACAAGGUUGAGCAGCGAAGUGGUGGAGGAAGUGCUAUUGACACAAG